ensembl:lncRNA
UGUUAAAUAAGAUCUUUCUACAUGACAGAGUUUAGACAGAGUGAAGGGAGUGAAGAGGUGGAAGCAGUUCUUCUGUCAUUCAAUAUUUUUCUUGAUUAGCAUCAAAUUCAUAAUGAAUAUCCAUCAUGUUCUGGUCUUCUGCUUCUUAUCAGGUACAACUGGGUUUGUUAAAGCCAGCAUUUGGAUUGUACCUGAAGGAGGGAAUGUAUCACUAUAUAAUUACUUCACUGUGUCUGGAAACACAAAGUUCUUCUGUAAGGAAAAAUGUGAGCGAGCAGAAAACAUCCUCAUUAAAACAGAUGGAACCACAGCUCAGAGCGGCAGAUUCAGCAUUGAAUACAAAAAUGCAUCUUCAGGAAGAGGAGAGCUGACUAUGAAAAUCACACAUACGACCAAGUCUGACUCAAGAAUGUACCGGUUUGGUUUGGGUAAAUCUUCAGCUCCAGAUUCGUACUCAGAUCUUGAGGUCAGAGUUUCAAAUGAAUUUAAUAAAAGCUCUGGAUUCUUCCGUGCGCAGACUGAGGGAGAAGAAAUCUCAUUUCCAUGUGCCAAUGCUGUCAAUGGACAGAGGAAGUUCCUUUGUAAGAAUCCGUGUGAAAAAGAAGGAAAUAUUUUCAUUGACACAACUAAUGACAAAGCUGAGAAUGGCAGGUACAGUAUCGAAUACACAAAAGGAUCUGCGUUUGGACUGUAUGCAACCAUCAGACAGCUGACCAAGUCUGACACGGGACAGUACUGGUGUGGUUACGGCGACCCUUUGUCUCCUGAUUCAUACCACACUGAAAAUAUUUUUGUCGUAGGGG